ACUGGAAACGGUAGCUAAUACCGCAUAACGUCGCAAGACCAAAGAGGGGGACCUUCGGGCCUCUUGCCAUCGGAUGUGCCCAGAUGGGAUUAGCUAGUAGGUGGGGUAACGGCUCACCUAGGCGACGAUCCCUAGCUGGUCUGAGAGGAUGACCAGCCACACUGGAACUGAGACACGGUCCAGACUCCUACGGGAGGCAGCAGUGGGGAAUAUUGCACAAUGGGCGCAAGCCUGAUGCAGCCAUGCCGCGUGUAUGAAGAAGGCCUUCGGGUUGUAAAG
rnacentral:rRNA from 1 species